UAGCAAAUGUUGUUAAAUCAGGGUGUCUCU
rnacentral:piRNA from 1 species